GCGAGAUUAAAUACUGUUUAUACAGUCACUGAGACGCUAAACAAAGUUUCUUACAAGAAGAGGAAGUUGGUGGAUGCAUUGAACUUGGACAACGAAAUCAUAGUUUCGUUUGGCAUCAGCCUGAGGACCAAGGGAGGUUAGAUAGGACCAGUGCCGGUUGAAGUGUAUUUCGAGUCAACAAGUAUAACAGCAAGAGAGGUACUCCAUUUACAGUGAUGAUGACAUAUCCCCUGGACCCCCACAACUCCACAAAUUUAAAAAUGUUUGAUCAAGUUCCGAAGAUUAAAGAACUGCUGCAAAAUUUGGGACUUGGAUGAAAAACAUUAAUUCACUUAUAUGAGCUCAGAGCAGUGGAUGUUGUACAACAUACUUUAAACUAGAUUGUGAAUUUAAGGGAAAACAAGUACAUGUACUCGUGUAUUACAUGUACAUGCCUUUUGAAAGACAAUAAUAUUGCAUAGAUGUAAAGGAAAUUUCAAUAUUGAUUAUUCUUUUUUAGAUAUAUUAGUAAAAAAUGUGCACAUGAUAGAAUAUCAAUUUUAUAACUUCAAUCAAUGUGUUUGAAUUUUCCUUGUAAUUCAAAAUUUAGUUGAAACAUACAUCAUUGAUACAUUAAUGUAUAUCAAAUUUUUAGAAAAGUUUCAUAAUGGAACUAAUUCACACACACCCCUUAUACAUACAGUGAACAUAGACCUUCACCUGGGGAAAACUACAGUUAGUUAAUGCAAUAUACAUGUAUAUGCAUUCUCAGCUAUCCAAUAGUGAGUUUUUGGUUCAUUGUGAAACUACAAUUAGAAAUCUUAAACUUAUGAAAGACACACCUAUCUGUGAGGGCAAGAUGACUCAGAUGGACUUACAUGUAGUGAUCCAUGGCCAGUCCAUGGGUCUCUUUCCAUUGAUAUUAAUUAUUUAUUGAAACAUGAAAUGGUUAUUUAAACAUAUUUGGUGUAUUAUACUGUAUAGUGAUAUAAAUUUCUAUCAAAAAAUAUGUAUAGGUAAUAGAUUUGGUCCAGUUAUUACAAGAAAUUGUAUGAAAAAUAACUAAAUAUUUAGGCAAUCAUUGUGAGUGCGAAAAGGUCAACUGCAAUAGCACACACUAUAUAUCAUUCUUAAAUGGCUCAUAGAAAGGUCUAGUAUUGUAAGUUUGAAUGCUCAAUGUGGUAAUUUGGGAAUGCUUAAUCAUUUAAGGUCAAUAGUUUAUCUCUGCUGACUGUAUCUAUUAAAAUUCAUUUCUAGAAGGGAGGGGGUAGGGUUACAAAAUCUGACAUAGUUUCAGAUUAAACCUCAUUUGGUAUAUUUUUUUCUAUUUAAUAUUUUAGAUACUACUUGACUUAUUGUAAAAAUGAAAUAAAAUCAGAAAUUUUAUGAGCAGACUUUUGUUGUUGUCAAAAAAUGUAUGCCUGAUAGUAUUUGAGA